GAGACCACCACAUCAAUCGUUCAUCACCAUCUCCAUCUCACGGUGUGUACCCUCAAUCCCCGGAAUAGAACGAUCCCUACUUACUUUUACUACUAAUGACUUUUCAGGGUUAAAUUAUGCGCUUGCUUUCGGGCGCAUCAUGAAGGGACAACGCCCAUGUGUAAUUUUUAGUUCUUCGAUCAUAAACGAAGAAACAUGAAAACAAAAACGCAAUUAUCUCAUUUUUAGGCUCCAAGUUAGCUUUAAUAUGAUAUAUUUUUGAGGCAUAAAAGUUAUUAGCAUAACACGAAAACGAUUGCAGAAGAUGAAUGCUAAGAAAGAAUUAGGGUUUAACGAUGAAUGAAAAGAUUAAAAAUGAAGUUUAAGUAUGUGUUUUGUAGGAUUUUUUAAUAAGAUAUUUUUCUUUAGGGGCCGUGACCUCUUACCCAAUUUUAGCCCAAAAAUUGCCCACUUACUCCACCAAGAGUUUUUUUAACCCCAUUUACCCAAUCUAACAGUGUUUGACAGUAUUGCCCUCAUUUUAAUUAACAAAUUACACUCAUAUCUCUCUCUCCUCCCCCUCAUCGAUUUCUUUCUCUCUCUUUCUCUAACCUCGUCUCAGGCUCUCUUUCUCUCUCUCUCUCUCUAAACCACCACACCCACCACUCCACCGUCGAUGUCGGCCUCCACUGCCGCUGCUCUGUCCCACCGUCGGACCACCAGAGGAUGACGCCAUCCAACUCCACGAUCCCAACCCCUCUGGGCUUCGCCGGUUUUGUUUGUCAGAUGUCCGAGAAACUCUCCACGUCGGAAUCGGGUCUGGGCUUCUCCAGUUUUGUUUAUCAGAUGUCCGGGAAGCUCCGAAGCUCCAAGCCGGAAUCGAGUCUGGGCUUCGCUUGCAGCCCGGGACCGGAGAUACAAUCAAGUUGCGAUUUCCGUGAUGAUCAGUAGCUGGCGAGAGAGACAGAAGCAAAUCGAAGACGUACCAGAUUCUACUGGCGGUCGUCGAUUCCUUCAGAAGGUCCAACCCGGCCUCGCCGAGCUUCUCAGCGACGAGGACCGUCUGCUUGGCGUCGAGCCUGGCCACGGAGAGCACGAUGACAAGUUUCGGCGCAGCGAUGGCGAGAGCCGGCGUCGUGGGCGACUUG